rnacentral:rRNA from 1 species
GACGAACGCUGGCGGCGUGCUUAACACAUGCAAGUCGAACGGAAAGGCCCUGCUUUUGUGGGGUGCUCGAGUGGCGAACGGGUGAGUAACACGUGAGUAACCUGCCCUUGACUUUGGGAUAACUUCAGGAAACUGGGGCUAAUACCGGAUAGGAGCUCCUGCUGCAUGGUGGGGGUUGGAAAGUUUCGGCGGUUGGGGAUGACCUGCGGCUUAUCAGCUUGUUGGUGGGGUAGUUGCUUACCAAGGCUUUGACGGGUAGCCGGCCUGAGAGGGUGACCGGCCACAUUGGGACUGAGAUACGGCCCAGACUCCUACGGGAGGCAGCAGUGGGGAAUAUUGCACAAUGGGCGGAAGCCUGAUGCAGCAACGCCGCGUGCGGGAUGACGGCCUUCGGGUUGUAAACCGCUUUCGCCUGUGACGAAGCGUGAGUGACGGUAAUGGGUAAAGAAGCACCGGCUAACUACGUG